AUGCAUGAUUGAAGGUGGAGAUAAAGGAAGGUGGAGAUCCAUUACUAUAUCUUUCUAACAAAGAAUAAUAAUUAUAAACCACCCUUAAAAUUGGACUUCACUACAGAAGCCGGCAUACAUCAAGCGUCCACUUGGUGCAUCCAUUGAGUAGGCAACAUUACAGUGAUUCUACCUUAAAGAUACUGAAGUCCGGGGGGCAUAAAAUGUUCUGAAAAUGAUUCAGAAAUCUUAACCACAUGAUUUUCAGAUUACUCUAAUGUUCAACGGUAUCUUUAGCCAGCUGAUCCUUAUCAUAUGA
rnacentral:misc_RNA from 1 species